AUACGUAGGUGGCAAGCGUUGUCCGGAUUUACUGGGCGUAAAGGGCGUGUAGGCGGUUCGUUAAGUCCGGUGUGAAAUCUCCCGGCCCAACUGGGAGAGGUCAUCGGAUACUGGCGGACUAGAGGGGGGCAGAGGAAGACGGAAUUCCCGGUGUAGCGGUGAUAUGCGUAGAUAUCGGGAGGAACACCAGUGGCGAAGGCGGUCUUCUGGGCCCAUCCUGACGCUGAGGCGCGAAAGCGUGGGGAGCGAACCGGAUUAGAAACCCCAGUAGUCC
rnacentral:rRNA from 1 species